rnacentral:rRNA from 1 species
UGAGGAAUAUUGCGCAAUGGGGGCAACCCUGACGCGGCAACGCCGCGUGAGUGAGGAAGGUUUUCGGACCGUAAAGCUCUGUCGAGCGGGAAGAAAUGCAUGGUGGCUAAUAUCCAUCAUGCUUGACGGUACCGCUAAAGGAAGCACCGGCUAACUCCGUGCCAGCAGCCGCGGUAAUACGGGGGGUGCGAGCGUUGUUCGGAAUUAUUGGGCGUAAAGAGCGUGUAGGCGGCCGAAUAAGUCAGAUGUGAAAUCCCUGGGCUUAACCCAGGACGUGCAUUUGAAACUAUUCGGCUGGAGUAGGGGAGAGGAAAGUGGAAUUCGUGGUGUAGAGGUGAAAUUCGUAGAUAUCAGGAGGAACACCGGUGGCGAAGGCGACUUUCUGGCCCUAUACUGACGCUGAGACGCGAGAGCGUGGGUAGCAAACAGG